rnacentral:rRNA from 1 species
GUGAGGGAUAUUGCACAAUGGGCGCAAGCCUGAUGCAGCAACGCCGCGUGAGGGAAGACGGUCUUCGGAUUGUAAACCUUUGUCUUUGGUGAAGAAGAAAGUGACGGUAGCCGAGGAGGAAGCCACGGCUAACUACGUGCCAGCAGCCGCGGUAAUACGUAGGUGGCAAGCGUUGUCCGGAUUUACUGGGUGUAAAGGGAGCGCAGGCGGGAUGACAAGUCAGCUGUGAAAUGUGUGGGCUUAACCCAUAAACUGCAGUUGAAACUGUUGUUCUUGAGUGGAGUAGAGGCAAGCGGAAUUCCGAGUGUAGCGGUGAAAUGCGUAGAUAUUCGGAGGAACACCAGUGGCGAAGGCGGCUUGCUGGGCUCUAACUGACGCUGAGGCUCGAAAGUGUGGGGAGCAAACAGG